UACGAAGGGGCUAGCGUUGUUCGGAAUUACUGGGCGUAAAGGGCUCGUAGGCGGCCAACUAAGUCAGACGUGAAAUCCCUCGGCUUAACCGGGGAACUGCGUCUGAUACUGGAUGGCUUGAGUUUGGGAGAGGGAUGCGGAAUUCCAGGUGUAGCGGUGAAAUGCGUAGAGAUCGGGAGGAACAUCAGUGGCGAAGGCGGCCAUCUGGGACAACACUGACGCUGAGGCACGAAAGCGUGGGGAGCAAACAGG
rnacentral:rRNA from 1 species